UGCAUGUCUAAGUAUAAACGAUUUAAUCGUGAAACCGCGAAUGGCUCAUUAUAACAGCUAUAAUUUACUUGAUCUUGACACAAUCCUACUUGGAUAACUGUGGUAAUUCUAGAGCUAAUACAUGCAUUAAAGCUCUGACCUCACGGGAAGAGUGCAUUUAUUAGAACAAAACCAAGCGGCUUCGGCUGUUUCUGGUUGACUCAUAGUAACUGAGCUGAUCGCAUGGUCUUGCACCGGCGACGUGUCUUUCAAGUAUCUGCCGUAUCAACUUUCGAUGGUAGUGUAUCUGACUACCAUGGUGAUCACGCGUAACGGAGAAUAAGGGUUCGGCUCCGGAGAGUUCGCCUGAGAAAUCGCGAACACAUCUAAGGAAGGCAGCAGGCGCGAAAAUUACCCACUCUCAGCACGAGGAGGUAGUGACGAAAAAUAACGAGACCGUUCUCUUAUGAGGCCGGUCAUCGGAAUG
rnacentral:rRNA from 1 species